UAAUCUGCGAUAAGCGCCGGUAAGGUGAUAUGAACCGUUAUAACCGGCGAUACCCGAAUGGGGAAACCCAGUGUGAUUCGUCACACUAUCAUUAACUGAAUCCAUAGGUUAAUGAGGCGAACCGGGGGAACUGAAACAUCUAAGUACCCCGAGGAAAAGAAAUCAACCGAGAUUCCCCCAGUAGCGGCGAGCGAACGGGGAGGAGCCCAGAGCCUGAAUCAGCAUGUGUGUUAGUGGAAGCGUCUGGAAAGGCGCGCGAUACAGGGUGACAGCCCCGUACACAAAAGCGCAUGUGCUGUGAGCUCGAUGAGUAGGGCGGGACACGUGGUAUCCUGUCUGAAUAUGGGGGGACCAUCCUCCAAGGCUAAAUACUCCUGACUGACCGAUAGUGAACCAGUACCGUGAGGGAAAGGCGAAAAGAACCCCGGCGAGGGGAGUGAAAAAGAACCUGAAACCGUGUACGUACAAGCAGUGGGAGCCCCACCACCAAAGCAUUUGCUGUACCGCGUUGACGGAGCGAAGCGACGUCAAACCGAUAAAACAGCAGUGUAAAGUGAGCCGCAGGGCGCUUUGCGCGACAGCGCAAAGGCAGGCGGUUUCGCGUAGCGAAAGCGAAUGCUUUGGGGUGGGGUGACUGCGUACCUUUUGUAUAAUGGGUCAGCGACUUAUAUUCUGUAGCAAGGUUAACCGAAUAGGGGAGCCGGAGGGAAACCGAGUCUUAAUUGGGCGUUAAGUUGCAGGGUAUAGACCCGAAACCCGGUGAUCUAGCCAUGGGCAGGUUGAAGGUUGGGUAACACUAACUGGAGGACCGAACCGACUAAUGUUGAAAAAUUAGCGGAUGACCUGUGGCUGGGGGUGAAAGGCCAAUCAAACCGGGAGAUAGCUGGUUCUCCCCGAAAGCUAUUUAGGUAGCGCCUCGUGAAUUCAUCUCCGGGGGUAGAGCACUGUUUCGGCUAGGGGGCCAUCCCGGCUUACCAACCCGAUGCAAACUGCGAAUACCGGAGAAUGUUAUCACGGGAGACACACGGCGGGUGCUAACGUCCGUCGUGAAGAGGGAAACAACCCAGACCGCCAGCUAAGGUCCCAAAGUCAUGGUUAAGUGGGAAACGAUGUGGGAAGGCCCAGACAGCCAGGAUGUUGGCUUAGAAGCAGCCAUCAUUUAAAGAAAGCGUAAUAGCUCACUGGUCGAGUCGGCCUGCGCGGAAGAUGUAACGGGGCUAAACCAUG
rnacentral:rRNA from 1 species